rnacentral:antisense_RNA from 1 species
CAAAGAGUCGGUUUGAGUUUUAUGACUGACAUCUUCUGGCUACAGUGGAUAUUACAGAAAGACUGAAACUCCACAAAGGUGUGUUUGAAAAAAAGAAAAGCACCCUGGAGUUUGGAUCAUUAAGUAUCUGCCAUUUAGAAUGUGCCCAGAACUGCCAAAUCAAUAAUAGAAUAAAGCAAGGGGAAUCCUUGAGUCUUCAUGGAGUAAGAACGACACCUUCUUAAGGGGAUCAAGGGGCAAGGUGACUUGAAGACAAUAUUAUCAUGAUAAAUAAGGAAACAAGGGAAAAUGUGGAAGGUUUUCAUCUCAAUGGACAUGAAAAAGUGUGCAUUAUUAGAGUUGAGUGCAUUUAAUAAGCCAGGAUUAUCACCUAGAGUUGCAGAGCAAGACAAAGCAAGUAGAGUCGGUAUCUGGAGACCUUUUUGCAAAGAAGAGACAAGCUCUCUCUAGGCUAUAUCACUAGUCUCAACUUCCUGGGCUCCAGCAAU